rnacentral:lncRNA from 1 species
UGCCUCAGCAAGGGAGAAAUUAUUAUAUAUUUAAUAAUUAAUUUAUAUAUAUAUAUAUUUUCUCAUAGAUUAAACAAUACACUUGCGUGGUCUGGGUUGUCAGCCAAAUCUACACUACAACUACACUGCAUUAUUUCUCCAAAUUUGACUUUCUUAAAUAUUGAAAUUAAUCUAAACAGAUCCGAAAAGAAAAUGAAUGAAUGAAUGAAUAAUGCAAUAAUUUUCUAGUUUAAACAAUUACAAUAUAUAUAAUUACAAUUAACUAAAAAAUUAAAUCAUAUACCUAUAAAUGCAUAGAGAAACUCACAAUAAUAAAUGGUCUACUAAUUUUUGUACAGUACAUUUUAUAUAUUAGCAAUGAAGUUUGCAUUGCACAUGCAUUCAUAUUGUUUAUCACUUAUUGUUUUAUAAUAUUGAUUUCAAUACCACUGCAUUCUCAUCACAGCACAUCAUUACUCCAUAUCACACUGUAUUGUUUGGUUAUAAUUUUUUUAUUUUCAAAAUGCAACUUUAUAUAUAAACAAUACAACAAAAUCCAU